rnacentral:rRNA from 1 species
AAAUUGAAGAGUUUGAUCAUGGCUCAGAUUGAACGCUGGCGGCAGGCCUAACACAUGCAAGUCGAGCGGAAACGAGUUAUCUGAACCUUCGGGGAACGAUAACGGCGUCGAGCGGCGGACGGGUGAGUAAUGCCUAGGAAAUUGCCCUGAUGUGGGGGAUAACCAUUGGAAACGAUGGCUAAUACCGCAUGAUGCCUACGGGCCAAAGAGGGGGACCUUCGGGCCUCUCGCGUCAGGAUAUGCCUAGGUGGGAUUAGCUAGUUGGUGAGGUAAGGGCUCACCAAGGCGACGAUCCCUAGCUGGUCUGAGAGGAUGAUCAGCCACACUGGAACUGAGACACGGUCCAGACUCCUACGGGAGGCAGCAGUGGGGAAUAUUGCACAAUGGGCGCAAGCCUGAUGCAGCCAUGCCGCGUGUGUGAAGAAGGCCUUCGGGUUGUAAAG